rnacentral:misc_RNA from 1 species
AACUGAUACUACCUGCGGGAACCUGCGGAAGGAUCAUUAAUGAGAAACUGCCCCUCGCGGGUAGAUCUCCCACCCUUUGUAAACUUACCUUUGUUGCUUUGGCAGGCCCGUCUCCGGACCGCCGGCUUCGGCUGGCCAGUGCCUGCCAGAGGAUUCUAAAACUCUGUCUGUCAGUGUUUGAGAGUCUAUAUACAAUCGUUAAAACUUUUAACAACGGAUCUCUAGAUCGGAAGAGCACAC